AGACCCGAAACCCGGUGAUCUAGCCAUGGGCAGGUUGAAGGUUGGGUAACACUAACUGGAGGACCGAACCGACUAAUGUUGAAAAAUUAGCGGAUGACCUGUGGCUGGGGGUGAAAGGCCAAUCAAACCGGGAGAUAGCUGGUUCUCCCCGAAAGCUAUUUAGGUAGCGCCUCGUGAAUUCAUCUCCGGGGGUAGAGCACUGUUUCGGCUAGGGGGCCAUCCCGGCUUACCAACCCGAUGCAAACUGCGAAUACCGGAGAAUGUUAUCACGGGAGACACACGGCGGGUGCUAACGUCCGUCGUGAAGAGGGAAACAACCCAGACCGCCAGCUAAGGUCCCAAAGUCAUGGUUAAGUGGGAAACGAUGUGGGAAGGCCCAGACAGCCAGGAUGUUGGCUUAGAAGCAGCCAUCAUUUAAAGAAAGCGUAAUAGCUCACUGGUCGAGUCGGCCUGCGCGGAAGAUGUAACGGGGCUAAACCAUGCACCGAAGCUGCGGCAGCGAACGUAUCACCCAAGACAACUUUACGGAGUUGACGAUUGACGGAGCGAAGCGACGUCAAAGCGUUCAUUAAAGUCGAGUUGGCU
rnacentral:rRNA from 3 species